AACCAUCACCAUCAAUGCAAUACAAUCUGCGAUCUCGUGGUCGUAUAAUCGGCAACCGCCUUUUGAGGUUACGCCAAGGAGUUCCAGUCUAUAAUCAUCACCACUCAUGUCAAAAGCCUUAUAGGCCCUCCGUUAAAAAAGUACAAAAGCCUUGUGGACCCUCAAUACUUAGAGGCACUGAUGAGGAACUAGGAAAUCAAAGGCCACAUCAUUGUAAGAUUAGAAAAGAACAACGGAGACAAAGUAGAUUACGUUUUAUGGAGAAGUAUCGGCCUUAUCCAUUUGUGGCAAUGCAACACUACAACAGAAUGCUAAAAGAGGAAGAACAGUACAAAGUUUAUGAUCGUGGAGAUGGGAUUAUGUCGGCUUACAAAAAAGUUGGUGUUUUUCAUCAACUGCACAUUUUGGGGGUGCCAAAAUCUUUUGAAUACAUGCAGAACUCAUCGGAUGAUGAUGUUCCUGUUAAGCACUUUUAUGCCCGGAUCCAUCAAGCACCCAAAAGGAAUACUCAUGUAGAUUACUGUGAGCCUUUUGAAGGAGAAGGACCUCCAUGAAAAGGUCUUGAUAUUACCCGAGUCGUUCCCUUGUGCUGUAAAUUUUGUGGUCUUGCAAAUGGGCGUGCUAUCAAGUCAAGAUCAUUAGAAUUGAGCGAGCAAGCUAAAGCUAAUGGAGAAGAUUCGGAUUCAGACUACUCGGAUGGUUAUUUGGACCCUGAUCCCCCUAAAAAAGAAAUCAGAGGAGCAUUAGCAGAAUCUAGGAGAAGGCGUUGAACCUACCUUAGAAGACUUUAAGGACCAACGUCCGAUCUUGAAAGCACUUCAGGUUAUAAUGCCAAAAUCUCAAGAAGAACACUACAAAGUUUAUGAUACUAGCGAUGGGAUUAUGACGUCUUUCAAAAAAGUUGGUGAUUUUCAUCUACUGCACUUUUUGGGGGUGCCAAAAUCUUUUGAAUACAUGCCCGAAUCCAUCAAGCACCCAAAAAGAAUACUCAUGUAGAUUACUGUGAGCCUUUUGAAGGAGAAGGACCUCCAUGGAAAGCAAGCAAGCUAAAGCUAAUGGAAAAUAUGAAUCAGAUUUGGAUUCAGACUAUUGGGAUGGUUACUCGGACCCUAAUGCCCCUAAAAAAGAAAUCAAAGAAGCAUUAGCAGAAUUUUGGAGAAGGCGUUGAACCUAUCUUAGAAGACUUUAAGGACCAAUGUCCGAUCUUGACAGCACUUCAGGGUUACAAUGCCAAAAUCUCAAUACGGCACACUCAUUUUUAUCUGGAUCUCUACCGGCCUUAGACUUCUUGAAUAUUCUAUUUUACUUUAUUUUUUUUUUAUGUAGCAUUCGACUUUUUUUA